GUGAGUAACACGUGAGUAACUGCCCUUGACUUUGGGAUAACUUCAGGAAACUGGGGCUAAUACCGGGAUAGGAGCUCUGCUGCAUGGUGGGGGUUGGAAAGUUUCGGCGGUUGGGGAUGGACUCGCGGCUUAUCAGCUUGUUGGUGGGGUAGUGGCUUACCAAGGCUUUGACGGGUAGCCGGCCUGAGAGGGUGACCGGCCACAUUGGGACUGAGAUACGGCCCAGACUCCUACGGGAGGCAGCAGUGGGGAAUAUUGCACAAUGGGCGGAAGCCUGAUGCAGCAACGCCGCGUGCGGGAUGACGGCCUUCGGGUUGUAAACCGCUUUCGCCUGUGACGAAGCGUGAGUGACGGUAAUGGGUAAAGAAGCACCGGCUAACUACGUGCCAGCAGCCGCGGUGAUACGUAGGGUGCGAGCGUUGUCCGGAUUUAUUGGGCGUAAAGGGCUCGUAGGUGGUUGAUCGCGUCGGAAGUGUAAUCUUGGGGCUUAACCCUGAGCGUGCUUUCGAUACGGGUUGACUUGAGGAAGGUAGGGGAGAAUGGAAUUCCUGGUGGAGCGGUGGAAUGCGCAGAUAUCAGGAGGAACACCAGUGGCGAAGGCGGUUCUCUGGGCCUUUCCUGACGCUGAGGAGCGAAAGCGUGGGGAGCGAACAGGCUUAGAUACCCUGGUAGUCCACGCUGUAAACGGUGGGUACUAGGUGUGGGGUCCAUUCCACGGGUUCCGUGCCGUAGCUAACGCUUUAAGUACCCCGCCUGGGGAGUACGGCCGCAAGGCUAAAACUCAAAGGAAUUGACGGGGCCCCGCACAAGCGGCGGAGCAUGCGGAUUAAUUCGAUGCAACGCGUAGAACCUUACCUGGGUUUGACAUGGAUCGGGAGUGCUCAGAGAUGGGUGUGCCUCUUUUGGGGUCGGUUCACAGGUGGUGCAUGGCUGUCGUCAGCUCGUGUCGUGAGAUGUUGGGUUAAGUCCCGCAACGAGCGCAACCCUUGUUCACUGUUGCCAGCACGUUAUGGUGGGGACUCAGUGGAGACCGCCGGGGUCAACUCGGAGGAAGGUGGGGAUGACGUCAAGUCAUCAUGCCCCUUAUGUCCAGGGCUUCACGCAUGCUACAAUGGCUGGUACAGAGAGUGGCGAGCCUGUAAGGGUGAGCGAAUCUCGGAAAGCCGGUCUCAGUUCGGAUUGGGGUCUGCAAC
rnacentral:rRNA from 1 species